rnacentral:rRNA from 1 species
CCUACGGGAGGCAGCAGUGGGGGAUAUUGCACAAUGGGGGGAACCCUGAUGCAGCGACGCCGCGUGGGUGAAGGAGUGCUUCGGCAUGUAAAGCCCUAUCGGCAGGGAAGAAGCAAGACGGUACCUGACUAAGAAGCCCCGGCUAACUACGUGCCAGCAGCCGCGGUAAGACGGAGGGGGCGAGCGUUAUCCGGAUUCACUGGGGUUAAAGGGAGGGAAGACGGCAAUGGAGGCCAGGGGUGGAAGCCCGGGGCCCAACCCCGGGACUGCCCUUGGAACUGCGUGGCUGGAGUGAGGGUGGGGCAGGCGGAAUUCCUGGUGUAGCGGUGAAAUGCGUAGAUAUCAGGAGGAACACCGGCGGCGAAGGCGGCCUGCUGGACCGCGACUGACGUUGAGGCUCGAAAGCGUGGGGAGCGAACAGGAUUAGAUACCCCUGUAGUC